GGCCGGAGCGUGAUCCACUGCGCCUGAUCAACUCGCCUGAAAAGCGGAAGGUCGCCGGUUCGACCCCGGCCCCAGCCA
rnacentral:tRNA from 1 species